rnacentral:ribozyme from 1 species
UCUCGCUAUCUUCUCUUCUCCAUCUGGGUUUAAUAUUUGCGCUUGUUUCUCUCUCUCUCUCUCUUUUCCCUGGUGUUCCUGUCACGUUUUUGUGUGUCUGUGUAUACGGAGGUCCAA